UGGGGAAUAUUGCACAAUGGAGGGAACUCUGAUGCAGCGACGCCGCGUGAGUGAUGAAGGAAUUCGUUUCGUAAAACUCUGUUCUAUGGGAAGAAAAGGACUGUACCAUAGGAGAAAGCUCCGGCUAAAUACGUGCCAGCAGCCGCGGUAAUACGUAUGGAGCGAGCGUUGUCCGGAAUUAUUGGGCGUAAAGGGUGCGCAGGCGGCUUUACAAGUUGGAUGUGAAAUAUUGUGGCUCAACCACAAACGUGCAUCCAAAACUGCAAAGCUUGAGUUAAGGAGAGGUAAGUGGAAUUCCUGGUGGAGCGGUGGAAUGCGUAGAUAUCAGGGGGAAUACCGGUGGCGAAGGCGACUUACUGGACUUAAACUGACGCUCAGGCACGAAAGCGUGGGGAGCAAACAGG
rnacentral:rRNA from 1 species